rnacentral:rRNA from 1 species
UACGGAGGGUGCAAACGUUGCUCGGAAUCAUUGGGCGUAAAGCGCACGUAGGUGGCCUGUUAAGUCGGGUGUGAAAUCCCUGGGCUCAACCCAGGAAGUGCACUCGAAACUGGCGGGCUUGAGUACUGAAGAGGGUCGCGGAAUUCCCGGUGUAGAGGUGAAAUUCGUAGAUAUCGGGAGGAACACCAGUGGCGAAGGCGGCGACCUGGGCAGAUACUGACACUGAGGCACGAAAGCGUGGGGAGCAAACAGG